rnacentral:piRNA from 1 species
UGAUACAGGACACGGACGGAU